rnacentral:rRNA from 1 species
GAUGAACGCUGGCGGCGUGCCUAAUACAUGCAAGUCGAGCGAACAGACGAGGAGCUUGCUCCUCUGACGUUAGCGGCGGACGGGUGAGUAACACGUGGAUAACCUACCUAUAAGACUGGGAUAACUUCGGGAAACCGGAGCUAAUACCGGAUAAUAUAUUGAACCGCAUGGUUCAAUAGUGAAAGACGGUUUUGCUGUCACUUAUAGAUGGAUCCGCGCCGCAUUAGCUAGUUGGUAAGGUAACGGCUUACCAAGGCAACGUUGCGUAGCCGACCUGAGAGGGUGAUCGGCCACACUGGAACUGAGACACGGUCCAGACUCCUACGGGAGGCAGCAGUAGGGAAUCUUCCGCAAUGGGCGAAAGCCUUACGGAGCAACGCCGCGUGAGUGAUGAAGGUCUUCGGAUCGUAAAACUCUGUUAUUAGGGAAGAACAAAUGUGUAAGUAACUAUGCACGUCUUGACGGUACCUAAUCAGAAAGCCACGGCUAACUACGUG